AUUGAACGCUGGCGGCAGGCCUAACACAUGCAAGUCGAGCGGAUGAAGGGAGCUUGCUCCUGGAUUCAGCGGCGGGCGGGUGAGUAAUGCCUAGGAAUCUGCCUGGUAGUGGGGGAUAACGUCCGGAAACGGGCGCUAAUACCGCAUACGUCCUGAGGGAGAAAGUGGGGGAUCUUCGGACCUCACGCUAUCAGAUGAGCCUAGGUCGGAUUAGCUAGUUGGUGGGGUAAAGGCCUACCAAGGCGACGAUCCGUAACUGGUCUGAGAGGAUGAUCAGUCACACUGGAACUGAGACACGGUCCAGACUCCUACGGGAGGCAGCAGUGGGGAAUAUUGGACAAUGGGCGAAAGCCUGAUCCAGCCAUGCCGCGUGUGUGAAGAAGGUCUUCGGAUUGUAAAGCACUUUAAGUUGGGAGGAAGGGCAGUAAGUUAAUACCUUGCUGUUUUGACGUUACCAACAGAAUAAGCACCGGCUAACUUCGU
rnacentral:rRNA from 1 species